GGAGGUGGCUCAGUGGUACAGUCUUUGCCUGGCAUGCAUGAAGCCCUGGGCUCAAUUCCCAGCAUCACA
rnacentral:tRNA from 1 species